ACCAACAAAAAUCCUCUCUCGACCCCACUUUCCAUUCUGGCGACUACCGCGGACCCCUGGACAAUGCAAGGUCAGGGGCACCCGCCCCUCUCCCCAGGCUGUUGAAAAUCUGAGCGUAACUGCUGACUCCUGAAGACCUUAGUAACACACUACAGUUGACAGGAGCCUUACCGAUGGCACUCGACUAAUGCAUAUUUACAUGUUAUAUGUACUAUGCACUGUAUUUUUACAAUAAAGCCAGCUAGAGAAAAGAAAAUGUUAAGAAAACCAAAGGAAAAUACAUUUACAACGCUGUGCCGUACUCAGGGGAACCACAGGCACAUAAGGGGACCUGUGCGGUUCAAACCCUGCUGUCAAGGCCCAGGUGGUGCCUGCGUCUCACUUUGUCUUCACCGCCAAGGGCCUCGGGUGAGACCCCCUGUUCAAUUACAUUCAGCCAGCACCAAUUAAGGGUGCUGUCGAUAUUGUUAACGCCAGCACCUUCUUCCCCACAACCAGGGGAAAUUACAUUUGGCCCUGGCGCCUCUUAGAUAUGUCCCAGUCCCCUGGCUACUGUGAUGCCACCCUCUGGGGACUCCUGUCUCCUUUCUAGAGGUUCCUUCACAGAAUCAGCCUCUUCGUUUCCCUUAGCGUGACGUGGGCAACCUUCCUGAUCCCAGGGCUGGUGGCCACCUCUACCGACUUGGGCGCUUGACAAAUGCACAGCUGUGACCCUGGCCCCUUUCUGCCUCCCCGGAAUGUGAGCUCCUCCAGAUCAGAACCAGGUUUCAGCCCUGGAUGGCCCACCCACUGCCGGCAUCUGCCGGGCACCUUGUGGAAGGCAGACACGAAGUUCAGAGUGAAUGUUAGCAAAGUUGACUGAGCGCCGGGUGAUGACAACACCCUCACGGUCACCGGCACAGCAUUAAGAACAUCAAUUUUACAGUAAUGACUCCCAAGUCUGCUCCCCGACGGUUUCAUAUGAGGGUCUGAAGUCAGGCUUCCUAAGUUUCCACUCAGGUGACCGAGACCGGAGGGGUGCCCUUGGGCAAGAAAACGUCCCUGAGCCUGAGUUCCCUCAUUGUCUACGGAGAUAAUAACUGUACCCCUUUCUGGAGACCUUGAGAUUUGAACCUGAAACCACUCACUCAAGGUGUCUACAGGGUCCCAGCACCGACCACCGGGGAAACGACCAGAAAUCUACUCUCUGUGCCACCACGUGCGAACAUUCCAACAGUCGUUCCUCCGCGGGUUUGAGCAGGACUCGACUGGGGCCUCCCUACCAAGUUGUGGGGCGCCCUGUCCCGCAGCUCACUGGGCAUCCACCGAGGCGCGGGGACACCUCCUGGCCCUGGGGUCACCCGGGCCGCGAGGGCCUCCCACCGCACUGGCCCUCCAUUGGCUGGCGCGGGGGUGCACACGGCAGGGGCUGGGGGGGGGGGGGCAUCGACCCUCGCGCUCCACCGUACGCCCCGUGAACCCCCUGCCCGCGCGAGGGGAGGUCCGCGCACCCGCACACCCGCUGCCCCGUGGGCCCCUCGCCCUAGGAGAGGCCCGCGCGCGCGCUCGCACGCGCGCGCCCGGCGACCCGUUACCUCCUGCCGCCCCGGGGGAGGUCCGCGCCCGCGCACACACGCCCCCGCGCCUUCGCGGCCCGUCGCGCAUCUGCCGCCCCGAGGCCCCGCGCGUGCCGGCCGCGCCGUCGGGUGGCCGCCGUCGCCCGGCUCCGGUGAGCGCCGCAGGGCGUCGCCGCCUUUUAGCGCCUGGCGCCGACCCCCCCGCCCCCCGCCCGUCCGUGCGCCCGCGUCCGGCGCAGCGGCCGGUGCUUUCCUCGCGGGACGAGGGGGAACUCCGGGGCGGUAACCACACGCACUUCCCCUGACCGCGGCCUGGCCAGCCCUCCCCGCCCCCACCCCGGGGAAUUUCCGCGACCCCGGGCACCCCCCCCGCCGCCCCCCGCCCCGGGCGGCCUUUCAGAGGGCCGGCGCCGCGCGCUCGCGCCCGGGCAGCGGCCGCGUGCUCGGGGUCGGCCCGGUCGCGCGUCCCCGCCGGCGGUCGCAGGAGCGAGGGCGCGGGCGGAAGCGCGGGUUCCCCGUGGGCCUAGCUGCAGUGCCUGGGACGGCGGCGUGGCCUUCUUCGUUUCCGGUAGCGAGGUGUGUGUGUGCGUGUUUGUUUUCGCCUGGUUGGUUGUUUUUGUAACUAGGGUGGGCCUGGCUAUUAAAAAAAAAAAAAAAAAAAAAAAGUCCCUUCCUUUAGGCUCUUGUCCCGCACCGGACAGCUCUCAGUGCCUGCCGGCGGUCCUCUCCGGGACACCGGGGACUGUGCACCUGCCGUCCCUCCAGCUGCCGGGCGCACGCGGGGGGACCGCCUGCCGGGUAGCGGAUGGAUGGGGGCGCUCAACCGACUGCCCCGCCUUCCAGCACAGCUAAGAUGGUCAGGAGCCAAAGGAAAUCCUGUAACGUUAUUCGGGAAUUCUUCCUCCCGUGGAAACAAAACGGACGCCCGUUCCAUUCGGCACAGUCGGCACGGGCUGGGGCGUCUUCAGGAUGCGGUGGCUCCGGCCGCCCAGGGCAGUCGGGGCUCCAGCUGGAAGGGGCCAACGUGACUGAGUUCAUGUCACAGGGAAAUCGCAGUCCACUUCCGACCCUGCCCGGUUCAAAACCUGGCAAGACGUUUUCAACUCACCUUGGAGGUGACUGAAAACCUUUUUUUGUGGGCGUUAUAUGCUUUUGAUCUUGUAGCCACCAAGAGGAUUUUUGAAACACGAAAUUCCUCUGGACAUUUUUAACUUUAAAGCAUAAAAGUUGUCACGGUUGCGAAGCACCUGCAGAAUGCAGACAUAAGUAUUUUGGAACACAGUGGAUCCGGCCCUCUUUUCAACCGAUUGGUCGAAUACAAAUACCACAGCCAGUCAUUUGAUACCCACCAUCGUCCAUUAAACAUCAGCUCGGCUUCAAUAACUGAAGACUUUACACCUGGGGUGAGACACUAUUUUACAAGCCAAGAUGGGUGAGCACAAAGCCUUCUCUUCAAGAAGAGAGCCCCACGGUGAACAGGUUGGUGACAAGGCGGGACAGCCUGGCCCCCUUCACAGCUCUUGUUUUCAGGCUGAUCGGGUUUAGGAAGAGCCCCAUGUGGACUUGAAGCACCAGGCUGUCAAUUCCUUUAACACUGAGUUCCCACUUGCCUGGGGCUAAUCUUUGUGAAGACGUGGUGAGCCUGCCCAAGGGAGUACCUGUCCCAACUGAAAGACCAGCGGCCUGAGGAAUCCCGGUGGGACUGGCUUUCCCAGGUGCUUUGGGCACAAUGAGAGUGGAGAGGAGACCUACCUGCCAGGCCCCGGAGUGCAUCGCCACGUCUCCUCCGCAAUAUUUCACGCAACUUUAACGAUGGAUUUUUAAAAAAUGUUUACUUAUUUAUUUUAGGAGAGACAGCGAGAGAGAGAAAAUGGGCAAGGGAGGGGCAGAGAGAGAGAGGAAGAGAGAGAGAAUCCCAAACAGGCUCUGCACUGUCAGCACGGAUGUGGGGCUCGAGCCCACAAACCAUGAGAUCAUGACCUGAGCUGAAAGAAAGAAUCAGAUGCUUAACUGCCUGAGCCACCCAGGCUCCCCAGUGAUUGAAGUUUUAAAAAUAAUUGUUUUCCUAUAAUAAUGCUAAGGUGCACAGGAGCAAGGCUGCAUGUAUUUUGUUCAGCACACUAUUCUAGUACAAGCAGGGUACCUGUAAAUAGGGAGUGUUCAAUAAACCUCUGUUGACUGAAUGACAAAAACGGACUCAGUGUAUCCAUUUGGACCCUCUCUCUCCUAAACCUGCACCCAUUUUUUAAAUAGUGAAACAUAACUUACCUUUUCCCUCCCAACUCUGUGAAUAUCCCAACUAUUUUAUAUAAAAACUCCACUCUUCCUUGCAGCACCCAAACAUCACCUAAAUAUGUUUUCUCUCCAAUACUCUUGUAUACACAGAAGGAAGCGAGGAAAUGCUUCAGGACAAUGACAAGAUAGACACACGAGGCCAUUAGUAUCUGGUUUACAAUAGCUUUCUUCUGCUGUCCCUGUCUAAGCAGGGUAUGAGAAGCGUGUUCACCCCAUUCCUGGUUUGGAACUUCUAGGACUCUCAACUGUGGUGUGUUCUCAUUGUCCUAUUGUAUUUAAAUCAAGUUUAAAAUAUCUGUUUCCCUUGAGGGCGAUCAUGAU